rnacentral:rRNA from 1 species
AGAACGAACGCUGGCGGCAUGCCUAACACAUGCAGGUCGAACGAGACCUUCGGGUCUAGUGGCGCACGGGUGCGUAACGCGUGGGAAUCUGCCCUUCGGUUCGGAAUAACAGUUAGAAAUGACUGCUAAUACCGGAUAAUGACGUAAGUCCAAAGAUUUAUCGCCGAGGGAUGAGCCCGCGUAAGAUUAGCUUGUUGGUGAGGUAAAGGCUCACCAAGGCUACGAUCUUUAGCUGGUCUGAGAGGAUGAUCAGCCACACUGGGACUGAGACACGGCCCAGACUCCUACGGGAGGCAGCAGUGGGGAAUAUGGACAAUGGGCGAAAGCCUGAUCCAGCAAUGCCGCGUGAGUGAUGAAGGCUUAGGUUGUAAAGCUCUUUACCGGGAUGAUAAUGACAGUACCGGAGAAGUAAGCUCCGCUAACUCCGCGCCAGCAGCCGC